rnacentral:rRNA from 1 species
AGAAGGAAGCUUGCUUCUUUCAAAUCUAGUGGCAAACGGGUGAGUAACACGUAAACAACCUGCCUUCAGGAUGGGGACAACAGACGGAAACGACUGCUAAUACCGAAUACGUUCCUUAGGUCGCAUGACUUUAGGAAGAAAGGGUGGCCUCUACUUGUAAGCUAUCGCCUGAAGAGGGGUUUGCGUCUGAUUAGCUAGUUGGUGAGGUAACGGCCCACCAAGUCGACGAUCGGUAGCCGGACUGAGAGGUUGAACGGCCACAUUGGGACUGAGACACGGCCCAGACUCC